rnacentral:rRNA from 1 species
UACACGUGUGUGAAGAAGCAUGAGGGUAUAAAGCACUUCAAUAGGAAGGAAUACCUAUCGGUUAAUACCCGGUAGACUGACAUUACCUAUACAAGAAGCACCGGCUAACUCCGUGCCAGCAGCCGCGGUAAUACGGAGGGUGCAAGCGUUAAUCGGAAUUACUGGGCGUAAAGCGUGCGUAGGCGGUUAUUUAAGUCAGAUGUGAAAGCCCCGGGCUUAACCUGGGAACUGCAUUUGAUACUGGAUAACUAGAGUUUAGUAGAGGGGAGUGGAAUUUCAGGUGUAGCGGUGAAAUGCGUAGAGAUCUGAAGGAACACCAGUGGCGAAGGCGGCUCCCUGGACUAAAACUGACGCUGAGGUACGAAAGCGUGGGUAGCAAACAGGAUUAGAUACCCUGGUAGUCCACGCCGUAAACGAUGUCAACUAACCGUUGGGUUCUUUAAGAACUUAGUGGUGGAGCUAACGUAUUAAGUUGACCGCCUGGGGAGUACGGCCGCAAGGCUAAAACUCAAAUGAAUUGACGGGGGCCCGCACAAGCGGUGGAGCAUGUGGUUUAAUUCGAUGCAACGCGAAGAACCUUACCUACCCUUGA